rnacentral:rRNA from 1 species
CCCAGACUCCUACGGGAGGCAGCAGUGGGGAAUAUUGCACAAUGGGGGAAACCCUGAUGCAGCGACGCCGCGUGAGCGAUGAAGUAUUUCGGUAUGUAAAGCUCUAUCAGCAGGGAAGAAGAUGACGGUACCUGACUAAGAAGCCCCGGCUAACUACGUGCCAGCAGCCGCGGUAAUACGUAGGGGGCAAGCGUUAUCCGGAUUUACUGGGUGUAAAGGGAGCGUAGACGGCGAUGCAAGCCAGAUGUGAAAGCCCGGGGCGCAACCCCGGGACUGCAUUUGGAACUGUGUGGCUGGAGUGUCGGAGAGGCAGGCGGAAUUCCUAGUGUAGCGGUGAAAUGCGUAGAUAUUGGGAAGAACACCGGCGGCGAAGGCGGCCUUCUGGGCCACGACUGACGCUGAGGCGCGAAAGCGUGGGGAGCAAACAGGAUUAGAUACCCCCGUACCA